UCUGGGUUUUUAAUGUUAUAUUGCCGGUGGUUCAAACAUCUACAUCAACUUCUACCUGUUUAAAUGCUUAUUGCUUCAUCCUGCUGUCCUUGCUGUCCGUGCUGUUUGGUUUUCUUCUCUUUUGUCCUUCGGCGAAAAAUAAUUUCACCUUCCAAAUGGUUGUGCUGUGUCUCUGUGUGCGUUUAUAUUGGCUUCUUGUAUUUUUUUUCCUUACUCCUUUUGUUUUGUUUAGUUACGGAUUUAACGAUUUAUAAAACCUCUGUGGUGAAGGAAAAAAACUAGAUCAGGGGUGUCUGAGUCCGACGAUGUCAUAUGUAGGGCACUUAUCUAAAAAGCAUCAAACUUGCAUUUUGUUCGGAUGUGUCACCAUGCAGUUAUGUCGGUGUCAGAGCAGUCGGCAGCCUGCCAAAAAGUUCCAACUUUUGGCAACGAUGACUUGCUAGGAGGCGACUGUUUUUUAUGUAACAAUCAUUUCCUCGUUAUAGGGUUCCGAAACUUGAGAAGCGUCCGCUGCAACUGAGGCAUCAUGAUCAUUUCGCAACGAAACAGGGGCUGCAUCUGUUGAUUCUUUUUCGCCCUCGGUGCACGAAUCAUACUGCGUCCUACUACUAGCAGAUGAAAUUCUAUCCGAUUCCCCGCUCUCCCGGUUACUUCUCUGCGUGUUGGUGCCGGCAUUGGACUCCCCCUCUCUCUUUUCACAACCCUUAAUGCUUGUUGUCUCACUAUGCCUUGAAACAAGCUUUUUAUACAGAGAUCUCAGUAUCUUAGGGCAGCUGAGAUUGCCCCAACUGGAUGAUCUGGUAAGUUUCUUGCUCGAAUUGGUAUUCCUACUCCUCGAAUUGGUCUUUGUACUCGAGCUUUUUCUCAGGUAACCCCUUUCGGAUAGGUAAACCUCUAGGACGAAGGGUUCUUGCUGCUCUUGGAGGAGAUCUGCGAGUUUUACUGACUUGGGGGUGGAAGCCAUUGGAGAAUUCUGUGGUUAGGGAUGGGCUGAGAUAGAAAGAGUUGGGGUGCAAAGUAGAAAAGUUGGCAAAUGAGAGACGGUGGUGAGGUUCUGAAGGUGAGUUAAUUGAGGACGACAAAUCAUAUCCAUCAGCUUUGGGACUGAACAGAAGCAGAACAGAGAAGGAAGGUUGGUAUUUAUUUUGUGUGUGUGAGAGAGAUCGAGAGAGAGAUCUAGGUUGUAUGUAUAACUGGUUGAGGUUAUGAGUCUUAUGACCUAUGAGUUUUAGGUAUUGCCUUGUUGCAAGUUAGGUCUUAGCUGUGUUUUUAACUGAAGUUAGUAUGUCCACCCCCUUGCACUUGA